rnacentral:rRNA from 1 species
AACGAACGCUGGCGGCAUGCCUAACACAUGCAAGUCGAACGAGACCUUCGGGUCUAGUGGCGCACGGGUGCGUAACGCGUGGGAACCUGCCCUUAGGUUCGGAAUAACUCCCCGAAAGGGGUGCUAAUACCGGAUAAUGUCUUCGGACCAAAGAUUUAUCGCCUUUGGAUGGGCCCGCGUUGGAUUAGCUAGUUGGUAGGGUAAAAGCCUACCAAGGCGACGAUCCAUAGCUGGUCUGAGAGGAUGAUCAGCCACACUGGGACUGAGACACGGCCCAGACUCCUAGGGGAGGCAGCAGGGGGAAAUAUUGAAAAAGGGGGGAAGGCCUGACCCAGCAAUGCCGGGGGGGUGAGAAGGGCCUUAGGGUUGAAAAGCUUUUUUCCCGGGGAUGAUAAUGACAGUCCGGGGAAAAAAAGCCCCGGCAACCUCCGGC